UAGGGAAUCUUCCGCAAUGGACGCAAGUCUGACGGAGCAACGCCGCGUGAGUGAAGAAGGAUUUCGGUUCGUAAAACUCUGUUGUUAGAGAAGAACAGCGCAUAGAGUAACUGUUAUGCGUGUGACGGUAUCUAACCAGAAAGCCACGGCUAACUACGUGCCAGCAGCCGCGGUAAUACGUAGGUGGCAAGCGUUGUCCGGAUUUAUUGGGCGUAAAGCGAGCGCAGGCGGUCAAUUAAGUCUGAAGUUAAAGGCAGUGGCUCAACCAUUGUAGGCUUUGGAAACUGUUUAACUUGAGUGCAGAAGGGGAGAGUGGAAUUCCAUGUGUAGCGGUGAAAUGCGUAGAUAUAUGGAGGAACACCGGUGGCGAAAGCGGCUCUCUGGUCUGUAACUGACGCUGAGGCUCGAAAGCGUGGGGAGCGAACAGG
rnacentral:rRNA from 1 species